AUCUAGAAAUAAAAAAUUCUGGUGCCUGGGUAAGGCUGUAGGGCAGAGCUCAGACUGGACCCAGGGAGCAGAGUCCAAUUAUUUCUGGCAGGUCUGGAGGCAGAGCCCAGAACAAAAGCAGUCUGUUCACCUGAGGUGCACAGCUUUUUCUUUUUUUUUUUAAAGAAUGAGCUGAAGAAAGAAACAGCUGGGCUUUGAGAGACUGACCUUGCCCAUUGCUUUUCUGGUAACUGGGCCAAAAGCCGACUCAACCACAACAAAACAGUCAAGCCAUUCAUUUUUUCGGUUACUUGGCAACCUUAGGAUCCAUGCACAUGUAUUUCGCAAGGAAGGCAUCAAUCAUGAGUGCAAGCUGUGUAACCAGAUGUUUGACUCGCCGGCAAAGCUCCUGUGUCACCUGAUUGAGCACAGCUUCGAGGGGAUGGGAGGCACAUUCAAAUGCCCUGUUUGUUUUACAGUUUUUGUACAGGCAAAUAAAUUGCAGCAACAUAUCUUUGCUGUCCACGGGCAAGAGGAUAAAAUUUACGAUUGUUCCCAGUGCCCACAGAAGUUCUUCUUUCAGACCGAACUUCAGAACCACACGUUGAGCCAGCAUGCUCAGUGAGCCCCUGGCACUACAGGACAUCUCUCUGCAGAAGACUUGACGGAAGCUCAGUAGGGAGGACCAUUUGAACAUUACAUCCAAUCAAAGUGUCAUUUGCAACCCAGAUGUAAAACUCUAAUGAUUUGGCCAUGAGGCGCUGCUAUUAUAAGCAGCUGGAAAUGAAUAUUAAUGGAAGAGAUUAAAAGUAUUCCAUGCGCAGUAUUUUUUAUUGUCCUGCUCGAGCUUAGUGUACUUUAAAGCUUCUGCUUCUGACUGGAUUUAUAGUUGCUAGAUUGGAAGCUGCUUUGAUGCUCCUGCCCUUUGUUGCUUCUUGUAUUAUACGGAUAGUUCAAGAUUUAGAAGUGAUUUUUCCCCCCUUUCUUUUCUGUCCUUUUGUUUAUUUUGUUUUUUU